CAGUACACUGAGGAAGGCCGCAGGGACCUCUGCCUAGGAAAGCCAGUCUCUUGUUCCACCUGAUGAGAAACACCCGCAGGUCCACGUGGAGGAGCUGGUCCCCUUUAUCGUGGCAACAGCAAGAAGUUUCAAGGGGUGAACACGUAGCUCAAGGGGAACGCCAGAGGUGAUUGCUCUCUCAUUUUAAUGUCCCUUUUGGCCUGAUAAUUUUAAAAAACUCACAUUCUUCAGAUAAAAGUUCUUCUCUCAGUUCUUUUGUUGCACCAAAGCCUCGGGGAGGCCCUUCUUCUCUCUGCAGAUACAUCAGCCAUCUUAAGCACGUGGCCUCUUCUGGUCUGGAGGCUCUAAGGGUGGGUGUCCAGUCUGGACCUGGGAUCUUUGUCAGGCUGGGAAUGCUGGUGUUACAGGCUGGUCUUUGAUUUUAGAGCUCCCAAGAUGGCGGCAGGCCGCUCCCAAGAUGGCGGCAAGCCUUUUGUUCUCUGACCUGGGGUUCUUGGCCUCACGGAUUCCAAGGAAUGGAACCUUGGGCCAUGCGGUGAGUGUUGUAGCUCUAUUAGAAGCCAUGGGUCAGGGCAGAGAACCAUGGAACCCAGCGAGUAGUAUUCAGCUUGAUUAGAACGAAUCCGGGCACUUAGCUGUGCAGGAACAACAGUGAGCCUCUAGCCCAAUCGGGAGCAGCAGUGGGCGCCUCACUGGAUCAGAAGCGCAGCAAACACCCUGCCAGAUCGACAGGGGUGGAAGUCAACAGUGGGUCUGCAAUGGCGACGAUCAGCAUCGGGAGCGGCAGUGGGCGCCUCACUGGACCAGAAGCGCAGCGAACACCCUGCCAGAUCGACAGGGGUGGAAGUCAAUGGUGGGUCUGCAAUGGGGACGAUCCGCAGUGGCCGACGGUGAGCGAAAGCUCAGCUCAAGCAGGAACAAACACAGACCAGAAGAGUGUGCAGUUGCAAGAUUUAAUAGAGUGAAGACAGAGCUCCCAUAGAAGGGGAGAGGACCCAAAGGGGGUUGCCGCCACCGGCCUGAAUGCCUGGGUUUAUAUCCUGAUCAUUGUCCCUCCCGC
rnacentral:lncRNA from 10 species